rnacentral:rRNA from 1 species
AUUGAACGCUGGCGGCAUGCUUUACACAUGCAAGUCGAACGGUAACAGGCCUUCGGGUGCUGACGAGUGGCGAACGGGUGAGUAAUGCAUCGGAACGUACCCAGAGGUGGGGGAUAACGCAGCGAAAGCUGUGCUAAUACCGCAUGUGAUCUGAGGAUGAAAGCGGGGGACCGAGCAGCAAUGUUUGGCCUCGCGCCUUUGGAGCGGCCGAUGUCGGAUUAGCUAGUUGGUGGGGUAAAGGCCUAUCAAGGCGACGAUCCGUAGCUGGUCUGAGAGGACGACCAGGCACACUGGGACUGAGACGCGGCCCAGACUCCUACGGGAGGCAGCAGUGGGGAAUUUUGGACAAUGGGCGCAAGCCUGAUCCAGCAAUGCCGCGUGCGGGAAGAAGGCCUUCGGGUUGUAAACCGCUUUUGGCAGGAACGAAACGGUGUCCGCUAAUACCGGGCGCUAAUGACGGUACCUGCAGAAUAAGCACCGGCUAACUACGUG